CAGAAUAAGCCCUACUAGACCUGGCUACAAAUAUUAAACCUUGCCCGAACCAACAACCAUUUCAGUCGUUGGACUCCAAGCGUAGUGCAGUAGCAUUUCUUCAAAAGGUCCACUCACAAUUCUACUAUCUGUCGUAACUGCAAUCUGAGACAUAUCUACACCAUGAAGACUGCCUAUAUCAUAGUUGCGCUGGUGAUAGCCAUCGGGUUGCUCCAACCUUCGGAUGCCCUGGAUAUUUGCGACGAUAUUCCUUGUCCCGUCAAACAGCAAAAACGCAAUGCCAUAGCAGCUCGACGAUCGUCCAAAUUCGAAGUGAUGGAAGAGGCGAGUGCAAGAAAACAAGCAGAAUAAUGAAUGCCGUAUUGUACAGGUUUCGUUCCACGUGAGUGCGUCACAAGAGUUCAAAAUAUGAUGUAUUACCACAAUACUAAAUAAAUCACAAAUAAUUACA